rnacentral:rRNA from 1 species
GAUGAACGCUGGCGGCGUGCUUAACACAUGCAAGUCGAACGAUGAAGCCGGAGCUUGCUCUGGUGAAUUAGUGGCGAACGGGUGAGUAACACGUGAGUAACCUGCCCUUGACUCUGGGAUAACUGCUAGAAAUGGUAGCUAAUACCGGAUACGACCCUCGGAGGCAUCUUCAGGGGGUGGAAAGAAUUUCGGUCAAGGAUGGACUCGCGGCCUAUGAGCGAGUUGGUGAGGUAAUGGCUCACCAAGGCGACGGCGGGUAGCCGGCCUGCGAGGGUGACCGGCCACCCGGGGACUGCGACACGGCGCGGACUCCUACGUGGAGCAUCAGUGGGGAAUCUGGCACAAUGGGCGCGAGCCUGAGGCUGCAACGCCGCGUUAGGGAUGUCGGCCCUCGGGUUGUAAACCUCUUUUAGUAGGGAAGAAGCGAAAGUGACGGUACCUGCAGAAAAAGCACCGGCUAACUACGUGCCAGCCGCCGCAGUAA